UUUCACAAACUUGUUCCUAUACAAUUCGUUAAAACUUGAAUUUGCAUGCCCAAUAGCAUUCAGAAAUUUUAUGUUACAUUUACUCGAGUAUGUUUGGAGAACACCUUGUAAUAACAUUCAAUGGCUUUGGUAAUUCUAACGAGGUUAAAGUUUUUUUUCGGGAACUAUUAUUUUUGCAGUGGAGAUGAGAUGUUGCUUUUGCAGGAUUUGAGGUUUCAAUACAAAUGAAUGUUUCUACAGAAAUAAAAAAUGAUCCAUGGAAUUGCGGGUAUUGAUCCUGAAAGAAGAGCUAAGUUAAUAAAGGCAUUGAGCAUUCUUGAUUCAUUUGUAUGAAGACUUCCAAGUAUCGGAGUUAAUGUUCAGGGGAUCCACACAGUAGCUAAUGUUCUGGGAAAAGUGCGGAAAUACAAUCGGAGUCCGAGUCAACAAUAUGUUGCUGCACCAAUGUUAGGAUUUUCAUUAUAAAACUUGUUUCCUUGGUAAUGUAAGUACUCGAUGUCGAUCUAUUAUGGAGGAUGCACAAAGUAUCUGAUGGUCAAAGAAUGAGAGUGCAGAUUUGUGUGGGUCUUCUCAAGCCAUUUAAGUUGACCUUGAUGUACUAGCGAGAGCUGACCUUUUGAGGUUCUUAAGGAAGGAGUGUGAACAGCGAGUUGCCACAAUCAUCUAUGCAACUCAUAUAUUUGAUGGUCUAGAGGACUGGCCAUCGCAUGUUGUUUACGUGGCUCAUUGAAAGUUGCAAAUAGCAAUGCCCAUGGAAGAAGUUAAGGGCAUGAGCAGAUUGUGAUUAAUGAGAACAGUUGAAAGUUGGCUGAGGAAAGAAAGAGACGAGGAGAGAAGGAGAAGGAAAGAGAGAAAGGCAUGCGGUCUUCCAGAAUUUGACAAACAAAUUGAAGGAAGUCAUGUGACUGGUGAUCCAGCCCGUGCUGCUGUUCAUGCAAUCAAUAAUGGGUGGGCAACAGGAUGACUGCAUUCCACCAUUGCUGGUGAAGAGAACUUCCUCUUCAGCUCAAAUAGUGUUAUGAGGUUAUAGAUCAAUUCAACAUAAGGGAAUUUCCCAAAGUUGAUACAUUGCUAGUAAAAAGUAGUUUCAGGAAUCAACUAGGCCAUAUGCAGUGCUUAGGCUCCCAUCAUAUUAGGUGGUCAAUCCUACUAAUUUACCAAAUAUCACAUUGCAAUUUACUGUUUUUGACCG